rnacentral:lncRNA from 1 species
CUGCACCCACAAACUUAAAUUUUAUAGGGAUUUACUUUCACAAUAGAACCAUCCUUUUAAAUAUCAUGCGAAAGUCGGUUAAUUUUUAUUAACCAACUUAUUUAUACCCUCACAUUUUUCAAAAUAGAUAAGUUAUUUUACAUAAAUAAUAUUUUUCUAUAAAAUUAGGAGAAAAAGCUUAUCCACUUGAACAAUGGCUAAAUUAUUUU